AAUCAUCCGCCAUGGGCGAAAGCCUGACGGUGCGACGCCGCGUGAACUCUGAAGGUCNNNGGUUUNUCAAGUUCUGUUGUUAGNGACNAAUAAGUGCCAUUUAAAUAGGUUGGCACCUUGACGGUACCUCACUAGAGAGCCCCGGCUACCUACGUGCCACCAGCCGCGGUAAUACGUAGGGGGCAAGCGUUUUCCGGAAUUAUUGGGCGUAAGGGCUCGAAGGCGGUUUCUUAAGUCGGAUGUGAAAUAUUGCGGCUCAACCGCAAGAGGUAAUUGGAAACUGGGAGGCUUGAGUAUAAGAGAGGAAAGUGGAAUUCCACGUGUAGCGGUGAAAUGCGUAGAGAUGUGGAGGAACACCAGUGGCGAAGGCGACUUUCUGGCUUAUAACUGACGCUUAGGAGCGAAAGCGUGGGUAGCAAACA
rnacentral:rRNA from 1 species